CGGUGUAGUGAUACUGGAGCAAGAGUGCAAGUGGUUGUUAGAGAACAACUAGCACUGAGCAUGAUCAAUAUGUGAAGUCACAUGGAUGUCUGCUCACUCGUUAGUGACUUUCUUGAUGCUGUAGUAGUAUGACUGAUCCUUUGAUCUGUGGUGUUACAGCUACUCGUAGCGAGGCUACUGAAGUUUGACUAUACAAAAAUAUUGACUCAAUGAGUUCUUGUAGUGGAUGUUGAUAACAGUUGAUCCACUAUAGGUGUAGGGUGUGCACCUAGAUGGAAUCUAUCGAUCCUAACAGAAAGGAAU
rnacentral:lncRNA from 1 species